GGCAAUUUUCAGGUGACUCACCCAGGAAUCAGUCUCCCUCCUCUCUGGUUCCCGUGCCUCAACCAAGAACUGCA
rfam:Myotis lucifugus cont2.69056, whole genome shotgun sequence.